rnacentral:rRNA from 1 species
UACGGAGGGUGCAAGCGUUAAUCGGAUUUAUUGGGCGUAAAGGGGGCGUAGGUGGAGAAGAAAGUCAGAUGUGAAAUUCCAGUGCUUAACGCUGGAGCUGCAUCUGAAACUUCUUUUCUAGAGGAUAGACGGAGAAAACGGAAUUCCACAAGUAGCGGUGAAAUGCGUAGAUAUGUGGAAGAACACCGGUGCGAAGGCGGUUUUCUAGUUUAUUCCUGACACUGAGGCCCGAAAGCGAGGGGAGCAAACAGG